rnacentral:rRNA from 1 species
GACGAACGCUGGCGGCGCGCUUAACACAUGCAAGUCGUACGGAAAGGCCUGCUUUCCCUUGUGGAUUGCGGGUACUCGAGUGGCGAACGGGUGAGUAACACGUGAGUGAUCUGCCCCCAACUUGGGUAUAAGCCUGGGAAACUGGGUCUAAUUCCCGAUAGGACUGCAGGGUGGUGCCUGUGGUGGAAAACGAUUUUCUAGUGGUUGGGGGUGAGCUCGCGGCCUAUCAGCUUGUUGGUGGGGUAAUGGCCUACCAAGGCGGCGACGGGUAGCCGGCCUGAGAGGGUGGACGGCCACAUUGGGACUGAGAUACGGCCCAGACUCCUACGGGAGGCAGCAGUGGGGAAUAUUGCACAAUGGGCGGAAGCCUGAUGCAGCGACGCCGCGUGGGGGAUGACGGCCUUCGGGUUGUAAACUCCUUUCGACCGCGAGGAAGCCACCUGGUUGGAAGGGUGGUGACGGUAGUGGUAGAAGAAGCACCGGCUAACUACGUG